UAUUACUAAAAUCACUAAACUGGCCACAUCCCGCUAAGAUUUUCAAACGGGGAAAGACGUUUGAUAAACGGGGAAAGACGUUUGAUAAUUCCAAAUUCAAUUUUCGUUCAGUCAUGUGACCAAAAUGAUGAAGUCAUGUGAUCAAAUUGUUUCAUCAUUUUGGUCACAUGACUUCACGAUUUUGUUAUCAAUUUAUUUUUGUACAUGGGUUUCUAAUUUUA